UGGACGCAAGUCUGAACCAGCCAUNCCGCGUGGAGGAUUAAGGCCCUUNUGGGUUGUAAACUCCUUUUAUCUGGGAAGAACUCCACGUUUUCUAAUGUGGUNGACGGUCCCAGAGGAAUAAGCACCGGCUAACUCCGUGCCAGCAGCCGCGGUAAUACGGAGGGUGCAAGCGUUAUCCGGAUUCACUGGGUUUAAAGGGUGCGUAGGCGGGCAGGUAAGUCCGUGGUGAAAUCUCUGAGCUUAACUCAGAAACUGCCAUGGAUACUAUUUGUCUUGAAUAUUGUGGAGGUAAGCGGAAUAUGUCAUGUAGCGGUGAAAUGCUUAGAUAUGACAUAGANCACCAAUUGNGAAGGCAGCUUACUACACAGUUAUUGACGNUGAGGCACGAAAGCGUGGGGAUCAAACAGGAUUAGAUACCCUGGUAGUCCACGCCCUAANCGAUGAUUNCUCGACAUCAGCGAUACACUGUUGGUGUCUGAGCGAAAGCAUUAAGUAAUCC
rnacentral:rRNA from 1 species